rnacentral:ncRNA from 2 species
AACGCACCCCGUGGCGAUUUGUUACCGGAUUGCGGGCCACGUUAAACAUGCCGCUAAAGAGGUCAUCGCAGGGCUGCC